rnacentral:rRNA from 1 species
UGCAAGUCGAGCGGAUGACAGGAGCUUGCUCCUGAAUUCAGCGGCGGACGGGUGAGUAAUGCCUAGGAAUCUGCCUGGUAGUGGGGGACAACGUUUCGAAAGGAACGCUAAUACCGCAUACGUCCUACGGGAGAAAGCAGGGGACCUUCGGGCCUUGCGCUAUCAGAUGAGCCUAGGUCGGAUUAGCUAGUUGGUGAGGUAAUGGCUCACCAAGGCGACGAUCCGUAACUGGUCUGAGAGGAUGAUCAGUCACACUGGAACUGAGACACGGUCCAGACUCCUACGGGAGGCAGCAGUGGGGAAUAUUGGACAAUGGGCGAAAGCCUGAUCCAGCCAUGCCGCGUGUGUGAAGAAGGUCUUCGGAUUGUAAAGCACUUUAAGUUGGGAGGAAGGGCAUUAACCUAAUACGUUAGUGUUUUGACGUUACCGACAGAAUAAGCACCGGCUAACUCUGUGCCAGCAGCCGCGGUAAUACAGAGGGUGCAAGCGUUAAUCGGAAUUACUGGGCGUAAAGCGCGCGUAGGUGGUUUGUUAAGUUGGAUGUGAAAGCCCCGGGCUCAACCUGGGAACUGCAUUCAAAACUGACAAGCUAGAGUAUGGUAGAGGGUGGUGGAAUUUCCUGUGUAGCGGGUGAAAUGCGUAAAUAUAGGAAGGAACACCAGUGGCGAAGGCGACCACCUGGACUGAUACUGACACUGAGGUGCGAAAGCGUGGGGGAGC